rnacentral:misc_RNA from 1 species
UCCCUGUCACCAGGGCAGUCUAGCUAGAGAAAUACAGCUAACUAUAGGGGUUGCGCUCGUUGAUGGACUUAACCAAACAUCUCACGACACGAGCUGACGACGGCCAUGCAUCACCUGUCACUUGGUUCCCGAAGGCACACUCUGCUUUCGCAGUGCUUCCAAGGAUGUCAAGCCUGGGUAAGGUUCUUCGCUUACCAUCGAAUUAAACAACACGCUCCACCGCUUGUGCGGGUCCCCGUCAAUUCCUUUAUGUUUUAGUCUUGCGACCGUACUCCACAGGCGGGAUGCUUAACGCGUUAGCUUCGCUACUACCCGGGUCGAUACGGGUAACAGCUAGCAUCCAUAGUUUACGGCGUGGACUAC